GCUUGUAAGGCUCUCAUCCCAUGGUGUCUUAAGGGUGCCUCCUAGCUCCUAAUGGGGCCCAGGCACGUUAGUGACAACCACACAGAGCUGGUGGAAGGCUAGGAGGUCUCAAGGCAUCCAAUGUGGAACUUGCAGUAUUGGUUUGUCAAGAGAUGAAACUACACCAGUUCAUUUAAGAGAGAACGUUUAUUAUGAAUAAUUAUUUACUAGGUAUAAAAGAACUGAAAAGGAAAAAGGGUAUAAACACGGAGGGAGGACUUAUCACUCUUCAGUCUUGGGGGCAAGAGAAGGGAGACAAAAACUGAAAAGAGAAGGAUGAUUAAAAUUGAGAAGCUUAGAGGAAGGGGCACUGCUCAACUGGUGCUGGUGUCUCUGAGCUCGGAGGCGCUGCCCCAUGGACCCAGGACCCACAUCUCUGAGAAGGGUGUGCCGCUGGCCGGUGCUGGUGUCUCUGAGGCAGCGUGACGAGGCUGGUUCUCCAAGUGCUGGAAGCGCUGCAAACUGGAUUCAGCUGCAGCUAUUGCAGGUAAUUGCUGCUGCCCUUGGGAGAAGCACGGCAGGGUGAUGCUCACACAAACAAGAAGCAGCCAGGAAGGAGGGGUCUUCUCCUCCCCCAGUCUUGCAGAUUCCCUCUGGAGUCCCGCACUACCAGAGACUAAUGGCAAAGCAGAGUCCCAGCCCCAGCAUCACAAAGCAGGAAAGAAAGACGAGUUUGAAGGUUCCACUUCUUCCUCCACCAUCUGCUAGGAGUGCGAAGUAGGGGUUGUCUGAAGAGAUUUGAGUCCUGGGCUGAAAGGGGCUGAGGAUCUGGGCUGAGCUGGAGAAGCCGGAGAAGGUAUAAAACUACUCAUCUCCCUCUGAGCCAUCACAGCUGAUUGUAUGAAGCUUGGCCAGGACUCAAGGAAAACCAAUCUAUAGAUGUGACAGCAGCCUAUGAGAUUAGCCCUGAGCUAACAUCUGCCACCAAUCCUCCUCUUUUUGCUGAAGAAGACUGGCCCUGAGCUAACAUCCAUGCCCAUCUUCUUCUACUUUAUAUGUGGGACACCUGCCACACCAUGGCUUGACAAGCGGUGCUUAAGUCCGCACCCAGGA
rnacentral:lncRNA from 1 species